rnacentral:rRNA from 1 species
GACGAACGCUGGCGGCGUGCUUAACACAUGCCAGUCGAACGGAAAGGCCCUGCUUUUGUGGGGUGCUCGAGUGGCGAACGGGUGCGUAACACGUGAGUAACCUGCCCUUGUCUUUGGGAUAACUUCAGGAAACUGGGGCUAGUACCGGAUCGGAGCUCCUGCUGCAUUGUGGGGGUUGGAACGUCUCGGCUGGUGGGGAUGGACGCGCGGCUUACCAGCUUGUUGGUGGGGUAGGGGCUUACCCAGGCUUUCAACGGUAGGCGGCAUGAGAGGGUGACCGGCGACAUUGGGACUGAGAGACGGCCCAGACGCCUACGGGAGGCAGCAGUGGGGAAUAUUGCACAAUGGGCGGAAGCCUGAUGCGGCAACGCCGCGUGCGGGAUGACGGCCUGCGGGGUGUAAACCGCUUUCGCCUGUGACGAAGCGGGAGUGACGGUAAUGGGUAAAGAAGCACCGGCUAACUACGUG